UACAGAGGUCCCGAGCGUUGUCCGGAUUUAUUGGGUUUAAAGGGUGCGUAGGCGGCUUUGUAAGUCAGUGGUGAAAUAUGGCAGCUCAACUGUCAGGGUGCCAUUGAUACUGCAGAGCUUGAGUACAGAUGAGGUAGGCGGAAUUGACGGUGUAGCGGUGAAAUGCUUAGAUAUCGUCAAGAACACCGAUAGCGAAGGCAGCUUACUGGGCUGUAACUGACGCUGAGGCACGAAAGUGUGGGGAUCAAACAGG
rnacentral:rRNA from 1 species